rnacentral:lncRNA from 1 species
GCGCGGCCGCGUCAGUCAUGCAGCCGCGUCGCUGCUUCUUCGCUCCUGGCACGCGAUCGCGUCGUCCAUGCGAUCGCGUGGAUACCAGUUUCUGCAAAACUCCGUUUCGCACUUUCCUUCCAUUUUUGUACGUUUCCUUUUCCAUCCUUUAAGUCAUUCUGCCUUAGAAAAUCUGAAACUACUCAACACACUAAUCACGGCAUCGAAUGGAAAUAAAGGUAAUUAAAAUAAUUCAUUUUAAAGCUUGGGAAACAUGUUUUUCACAUACAUCUCAUAAUAAGGAAGGGAAAGUAAAACCAUGCAAUUAAUAUGAAUAAGUGGGUGAAGGGUUGAAUAAAUCACUCAAACUAAGCACAAAAUAACUCAUGAAAUAUGGGUUUAUCAACCUCCCCACACUUAAAUAAUAGCAUGUCCUCAUGCUAAAUCCAAGGUAAAGAAUAAGGUAAGGUUAAAGUGGUGGAAUGUUAUGCAAUACAACCUAUUCUAAAUGCAUUUACCUAAAUGAGUCAUGCAAUUCCAAUUAAUCCACUCAUAUAUAAAGCUUACAUGUAGUCAAAUUAAUUCACAUUCUCAAGGAGUCAUAUAUAUAUAUAUAUAUAGCCAACCCUUAAAUAAUAAAGCAUUUUAGCAAAUGAGAUGGGAAAUAAAAAUAUUGUACAAACUUGCAAAACAAUUGGUAAAUUAAGCACAGAUAUAUGUUGAUGAGUUAUUGAACCCUCACUGGAUUUUGUGUUUACCCUCUAGUCACUCAGUGUUUAUUGGGUUUAUUCACUCUACUUUUCUUUUUAUUCUUACUUUCUAUAACUUUGUUCUUCAUCUAACCAAUCAACAAUUAUAGAGUACAGUCAUACCAAAAGUCAUGAGGUCUUUAAUUAAGGUUAUAAUGGGGCCAAGGUAAAGGUAAGGAUAUAUGUAUAAGGCUAAGUGAGCUAAUAAGUGAAUCCUUAAUUAGACUAAGAUCUCACCUAACAUACAUAUUUAGUAGACCAAGCUUCUUUACCAAUUUUUCCAUAUUAUCCCACUUGUUGUUACAUGCUCAUGUUUCAAUUUUAUUUUUAUCCCAUGUGCAUUGCUUUUAUUUUGCAUUGAAGAAUUCUUUUGUAUCCCCUUUUAUUAAAUGCUGAAAAAUAGCUUUUUUUUAAUGCACAUGGUAAUUGAAUCACUUUGAUUUCUCAUGAGCAUGCUUCCCAAAUUUUCUGAGUUAUUUUAUUUCUUUCAACUUUUCUACCUUUUGUUUCUAUCAUCCAUGUUCCCAAUAGGUUUCCCACAUUUUAAUCUAUUCAUAUUUUUCUAUCUUAAGCUAACUAAGGAUUCAACUUGGGAUUUUAUUUUGUUUUUCUGCUUAAGGCUAGUAGUGUGGCUAAAUAGAAUAAAAGGGAUUUUAAAGGCUCAAGGGGGCUAACAAGGGUGAUGUGAAAGGUAGGUUAUUUUGGGGUAAGUGAGCUAAAAUUAAAUGAUGGCCUCAAUCAUUCUUUUGGUAUGUAUCUAUAUUCUAUAUUCUAUAUUCUAUAAUUGGACAUAUAGAUUAAAGCAAAGUAAAGAACAUCAGAAUAAAAAAAAAUGAAACACACAGGAAUGAAAUUAUGGUUUGAAUGCAACCAUACAAUUAAGCUCAAGACUCACAGGCUGUGUGUUCUCUAACUCAAGCAUCAUAUAUUAUUCAUAUAUGUUAUGCAGGUUUAGUUAAAAAUUCCGAUUAUUCUCAUAAAAAAAUUAUUUAGGGUAGCCUUUAAAGUUUUAAUGUUCCUCCUUGAUGAAAUAUUGUCAACUUAACUAUAUGAUGUAAUGCUAUAUAUACAAGGUUUAUGGAUUUAAAUCUGUUAUGUUCAAUUUCCUAGCUUACUUCCUUUUUAUUUUUCAAUUUAAACUAUGCUAUCUUAUGCUAAAAAGGGUAAACUAUACUAAUUAAUCCACUAAUAAGUCAGAAUUGCAAACUAAACUAAAUAACUAAAAAUAUGAACUAAAAAUGCAAAAUGCGGAAAUAGAGUAAAAAUACAUAAAAGUAGCAAUGUAUAAGUACUCAGAAAAUAACAAUAAAAAGAAAAAUACAGAAAAAUAUCCAAAAUAAAAGAAAAAAAGAGAUGUAGUGGUUCACCAAAAUAAAACGCCAGAGAUGGCGACCUCCCCACACUUAAAGUGAAGCAUCGUCCCUGAUGCUCAGUCAAGCUGGGUGUGAAGGGGUGUCAUCACUGGUAGGGAUGGUAGCUGGAGGCUCUGUGGUGGUGGUGGGCUGAGGGUCUGGCUGCUGUAGAGGUGGUGCUGACUGGAUCGGGAUCUCCGGAUCUACAGCCUCGAUCUGAUGCGUAACCUCCUGAUGUGGUGCAGCCUGCUCUGUGUCUGCCUGCUAAUGGGUCUCCUCCUGGAAGUGAGUCUCCUCCUCGUGCUCAUCCUCCUCCUCCUCUGAUGGCUCUGAUGGUGUGUCGGGCUCGGAGGGGAUGUCACCACCCUGUCGGAUCAUCAGCUUCAGAUGCGAAUAGCGUCGCUGGCUGCGACGCUCCAAUCUCUCAUACCGGCGCCGGUUACGGCGCUCCAUCUGAUCAAGCUGUCAGAAUUGGCGGUGCACGAGGCGGUAUACGGGCUCAGAGGCAGGUGGAGGUGCAGUGGCGGCAGCAGGGGCAGCCGUGGAUGAAGAAGGUCCAGCAGACGGUGGGGCUGUCUCAUCAGUAGCAGUGAAGGGUGGUGGUCUGUGGCCCAAAGCUAGGAAGUUCCUGCUGUGAGGAAUGAUCUUCCUGCAGUCCGCCGCUGGUGGUCUCUCAUCGGCAUCCUCCCACGGCACGUCAGCUCGACGGCCUAGCUGUGUAACCAGAUAUGGAAAAGGGAGGGUACCUCGGACAUGGACCCUGGCCAUAUAAUGCCGGAUAAAACGUGGCAGAUAAAGGUCCUUACCCUCCAUCACACACCAUAGGAGGGUGAUCAUAGCUGCUGGGAUCUCCGUCUCAUGAGUACUCGGCAUCACAUAGUUGCUCAAGAUCUGGUGCCAUAACCGAGCCUCAUCAUUUAAGUACGCCCUCUUGAUCCUUCUAGGCAUGGUGGUGUCCUGACCCAUCUCCCAAGGAACAUUCGGGUCGAGAGCUAUCCGUGCCUUUACAGCAUCCCAAUCAAACUGCAUCAGGUGCAUGUCCUCCUCAGCCUUUGUAUAACCAUCAGAUUGAUCGGACUUGGCUGGGAGCUGGAGAAUGUCCUCUAUGGCCUCCUCAGUCACCAGAAUUUGCUUUCCUCUCAGGUUCACUGCAUCGAGGGUAGUGAUGUAGUAGUUGCAGUAGAAUUCCCGGACCCAAGAUGUAUUGACCUCUGUCAGUGCUCUCUGCAGAAAGAACCAGCGUCGUUGCUUGAUUUGCUCAGUGGUGUACUGCUGGAGUGCUUCUGGAAUCCUCAGAGUUCUCUCCAGGUAUAGAUUCCUGGAGUUUGCAAAUGCCGGAUACUUCAGCUCACAGUAUCGGUAUGCAAAUUUUAUUGAAUCAUUUGCAGGGAGCAGCUGGUCAGCUUUUUCCUGCUGUGUAAAGUUCUUCUCCCGCCAUGAGGAAUCAUGCAUGAGGGCAAUGAUAGACUGGGAGGAAUCUCCUCUCUUGCGCUUGCCAGUAGCCUUGCCUUUUCCUUUUCUCUAUGAGGCAGACAUCCUGAAAAAUGGAAAACCAGGAUAUGGAUAAAAAUAGGGAAGCAAAUAGGCAUUUAAACAAAGAAAACUUAAAGCGGCAAAGGAGAAUGGGAAAUAGGUAAAUGAGUUAAGUAAUGGUGUAUUAAGGAUUUUAUAGUAGUUUAAAAGUUUGAAAGGAAGAAUUUACAAUCCAAAAUGUAUCAGAAUCCAAGUUAUAUAGAGAAGUUAUCAUAAUGCCAUGGUUAGAAAGUAAGAGGAAAGUGAAAAAUCAGAAAAGAUAUUUUAAAAGGUUAGUAUAGUUAGAAUUUGAAAAAGAAGUUAGUAAAUUAAAAUUAGUGAGUCAGUAAGUGGCAUAAAGAAAAUAGUCCAUGUAACAAGGAUUCACAAUUAUGACUAGAAAUAACUCAUAACCGAACAAGGAAAACAGGGUGAAGUUAAUUCAAAUAGAUAUAAAGAAAGCAAGAAUUGGAAUCAGAAUAUCACACAUACAGUUUAUAAACCAGGAAAUCAAAGAGGAUAAGAAAGUCUGCCAUAGCAUUCAUGAAAUGGUUUGGUUAAAGCAGAGGACAACAGAGUUCAGAUUGCCAAACCAAAACAUGAAUGAAAACAAUUCACAAAAAAAUUUGGGCAGCAUUCCGGCUAAAAUUGGAUUGUCCCGAAAAAUAAACAGCAAAUAAGGCAGUUCAUAUGAAUUAAAAAGUCAAGCUGUAGGUGCAUAGAUAUAAUAUAAACAAGAAAAUUCAAUGUAAAGAGCAGCAAUAUAUAAGAAAUACAGCAUAUGAACAAGAUUACAGCAACAGCAGAUUUGCAAAUAUGAUACAACAGAAGCAAGAACAGUGCAAAUAAACAGACCUAGAGCCACUAACCAUAGCCUAAUCUACCUAACAACCUAAAAUCCACUACAACAUGCAUAUCUAACUAUCCUAACAUGAUCAAAAAUGGAAAAAUAAAAAUAAACUACGAACGGAGAAAAGGGAUUGCGUGUUGCGGAACCUGGAAGGCGAAAGAAGGAGGUUGGGUUAUAGAGGUGGCUGGGGUGGUGGCGGUGACGUCCGGCACGGCGGGUGGCGGCGGUGGGCACGGCGGCUGCGGCUGUUAGGGGGUAGGGGCUUUGGGAAGGGUAAUGGGUGAAAUAGGGGAGGGGAUUAGAUAGGGGAUAGGGGUGGGCUGCACGAAUGUAGGGUUUCGCAUGACAGGGGGUGUUAUAUUUUUGAAUCCACGCGGCCGCGUGGGGCACGCGGUCGCGUGGUUGGGGUGAAAAUGGGAGUGACGCGAACGCGUGGGGCGCGCGAUCGCAUGAAAGGGGUGGAAGAGGGGAUGACGCGAUCGCGUGGGUCGCGCGAUCGCGUCACUGGAGAUUGUGCUAAACGCACGACUCCAACACCGUUUCAGCGCAACUCUCUGUCUCCUUCUAGGGUGAUGUGCAAUCCACGCGACGCGAUCGCGUCGCUCACGCGGUCGCGUGGGAUUGGUAUUGUGCAAGUGACGCGAUCGCAUGGGGCAUGCGAUCGCGUGGGCCAAUUUGUGUAAAACGCACAGGGGCCGCACGAUUCCAGCUUAACUUUCUGGACGUUGGAUGUUUACGCCGAUCUCCAGGUCACGCGGCCGCGUGGAUGACGCGGUCGCGUGGAUAGUGUUUUCGCAAUAUGACGCGAUCGCGUGGGGCAUGCGGUCGCGUUGUGCAUCUCCCCCUUUUUUUUUGUAAGAUAAAUGAAGAAUGCAAUGAUUAAUAUGAAUGCUAUGCAUGAUUCCAGGUUCAAUGAAGUAAAAUGAAAAGAAAAUAAAAAAAUGAAAGCAAUUAACAAGAAUUAAAUUGAAAAAGAAGUGACCAUACCAUGGUGGGUUGUCUCCCACUUAGCACUUUUAGUUAAAGUCCUUAUGUUGGACAUUGGAGGAGCUUCCUGCUAUGGCGGCUUAUGUUUAAAUUUGUCCAAAAUCUCCACCAAUGCUUGGAAUGCCAAUAGCCUCCGGGGUCCCAUACUAGGCAUGUAAAGCUUCUGAGCAGCUUCAGACAAAUUUUCAGGCUCCCGGGGUGACGAAUGUCAGAAUAGAUUCCAGGAUCCCAAGCUUUGCUAUUAAAUCCGCCUCCAUCUUGAUCUAUAUGUUUCCAUCCUGGCGGUUUAAAAAGUAGAAUCUUACCAUGGUGACCAAACGUUCUCCGUGAUCUAUGCAAUUGAGCAUGAUACCAAUCCGUGUACUUCGAGGUGAAGUGUGGAACCUUAUUGAACCUUGUGCACCAACUCUGAGUAUGAGCCAUUUCCCUCUUACUCUUAAAGCCGCAGAGAGCUCUAAGCUGGCCAUCUGUUUCAAGCAAACCAUAUUCAAGUGAAUAAGUAAAGUUACAGGUUAAGGAUUGUACCCAUUUGAAGCUUGUAUUAGGUGGUAAUGGCCUUGGGAUAGGUGUUUCCGGUGGUUCUGUGAGUUCUACUCCCUUGUGCUCUUCUGUGAAUUCCUCCACUUCCUUGCAAGGUUCUACAAUUGUAUCUGUGUCCUGGUCAAAGUCUUCUAUGUCUUCCUCAUCACUUGAGUCAUAGAUUGGAGGUUGAGAGAAAUCUACCUCCGCAUCGUCUUCAUAUUCACUUGGGGAAGAUUCUUCGACCUCAGAGAAUUCACUUGCGGAUGCCAGUUCAUUACUAAGAGAAUUUGACUUGUGACUAUCAUCAUCAAGGGAAUUUGUGUCCUGGGUUAUUCCGUCCGAUUCUUCAUAAACAACUUGCCUUGGAGAUUGUACAAUAUCCUCCUUAGCAUCAACUGUAGCGUCCUUGACGGAGUUCUCCUCAGUUUUGGAUUCCCAUGGAGGUUCAGCAUCUCCUAGAUCUUCAACCAACUCUUCUUUUUGAACAAUGACAGCUUCUUCUACUUGUUCUAGUACGAAUUCAUUCUCUGUCUUAUCCACUGGAGUUUUUGGUAUCUCCUUCAUGCUACGGUCUUCGUUAGACUGUUCACAAGGGGCUGUGGCUGAUCCUUGUGUAUUUGAGCACCUAAAAACCCAUUGAAUUACUACUUGCUCCAGUUGUCGAAUGGUUGUUUGAAAUUUAUUUACUGUUUCCUUUAGGCGAACCUCUGCUUCUCGGGUUGCCGGAUUUGGACAUGAUACGAAGGAAAGUGGUGGUGAUUGGGAGUGAUUGGAUCGGUACUGGGGUAAGGAAGGAUCAUAUGGUGGCGAAUGGUGAAGAGAAGCUUGUGAGUGUGGUGCUUCGAGGUCAUGUUGAAAGGAUGGUUUAUAUGCACGGGGUGGGGCUUGUUGGUAGUUACAAGGUUGUCCACCAUAUCUUUCAGCUGGGUAUGCACGGUAGAAUGGUCUUUGUCCAGGAUAUCUCGGAGGGUGUUGCUGCCUAAAGGGUUAAUUAGAUCCUCUUGGCUCCAUCCAUCCUUGAUUGGUCUGACCUUGAUGCAUAUUCCUGCUAUAACUUCUAUUUCCUUCAACAAAGUUAGAACCAAACUCAAAGCGAGAGGGGUGAGAAUUCAUGGUAGCAAAUGAAAAAUAAAUGGGAAAAACAGAAAUAAAUAAACAAGUAAAAGAAAAAUAUUUACAAUAACCAAUAAUAAGGCACACGUUAGCAAAUCCCCGGCAACGGCGCCAUUUUGAAGAACUGAAGAUUGAUGGUUUAGAAGUUAUGGUAAAUACUCGUUGUAAGUAUAGUUACUAAACCAAGCAAUCAACCUUUCUUACAAACGUUUUGGNNNNNNACCUUUGCUAAAACAAAGGAAAGUCAAGGGACUAAUUAGUUUGACCUUCGAAUCCUAUUUAUUUCCUAAGAAAAAGUUGGGAUUAUUUAAGUUCAGUUCAAUUAGCAAGAUAACAAUUAUCAAUUAUGCUGAGUUGGUAACUGUUGAGUUACUGAUUUCUUAACCAAGACCAAAAAGGGAGAAAAGUAAAUUGCUGGAAUAAAAUAUCUUCAGAUCGGAAACAAUGAUAACAUAAAUUAAAAAGAGCAAUCAUAAACUGAAAAUACCUCAAAUAUCAUUAAUUCAAAUAAUAAUCUGUAACAUGGAAUAAUUCAUAAAUUCAAUUAUAAAAGUAAUUAAUCAACUCAAGUGUUGGAAUAAAUAAAUAAAAGUGAAAAGGGAAGCUUAAAACAAGAAACAUAAAACCUGGAUCGAGAGUCACUCUUAAAAACUAAGAGAAGUCCUAAAUCCUAAUCCUAAGAGAGAGAGGAGAGAACCUCUCUCAAACUAAAUCUAAAUCAUGGAAAGUAGUGAAAAAUGCGAGCUCUCUUUGAAUGGAUGCAUUCCUCCACUUUAUAACCUCUAAUCUAUGUAUUCUGUGCUUGGAUCUGGGCCAAAAGGGCUUCAGAAAUUGCUGGGGGCGUAUUCUGUAAAUUCUAAUACGUGGCCUCUGUCACGCGUCCGUGUGGGUCAUGCGGUCGCGUCAUCUGGAGUUUUCCUUGUGGCGUGGUUGCGUCGGUCACGCGUCCGCAUCGAAUGCGCUAUGCUCAAGUCGCGCGGCCGCGUCAGUCAUGCGGCCGCGUCGCUGCUUCUUCGCUCCUGGCACGCGACCGCGUCGUCCAUGCGAUUGCGUGGAUACCAGUUUCUGCAAAACUCCGUUUCGCACUUUCCUUCCAUUUUUGUACGUUUUCUUUUCCAUCCUUUAAGUCAUUCUGCCUUAGAAAAUCUGAAACUACUCAACACACUAAUCACGGCAUCGAAUGUAAAUAAAGGUAAUUAAAAUAAUUCAUUUUAAAGCUUGGGAAACAUAUUUUUCACAUACAUCACAUAAUAAGGAAGGGAAAGUAAAACCAUGCAAUUAAUAUGAAUAAGUGGGUGAAGGGUUGAAUAAAUCACUUAAACUAAGCACAAAAUAACUCAUGA